UACGUAGGGUGCAAGCGUUAAUCGGAAUUACUGGGCGUAAAGCGUGCGCAGGCGGUUCGGAAAGAGAGGUGUGAAAUCCCAGGGCUUAACCUUGGAACUGCACUUUUAACUACCGGGCUAGAGUACGGCAGAGGGGGGUAGAAUUCCACGUGUAGCAGUGAAAUGCGUAGAGAUGUGGAGGAAUACCGAUGGCGAAGGCAGCCCCCUGGGAUGAUACUGACGCUCAUGCACGAAAGCGUGGGGAGCAAACAGG
rnacentral:rRNA from 1 species